rnacentral:rRNA from 1 species
GACAGAGGUGCCGAGCGUUAGGCGGAAUCACUGGGCUUAAAGCGUGUGUAGGCGGAUGCCUAAGUACCUUGUGAAAUCCCACGGCUUAACCGUGGAACUGCUUGGUAUACUGGGUGUCUUGAGCCACUUAGGGGCGACCGGAACAAACGGUGGAGCGGUGAAAUGCGUAGAUAUCGUUUGGAACGCCAAUGGUGAAAACAGGUCGCUGGGAGUGCGCUGACGCUGAGACACGAAAGCCAGGGGAGCAAACGGG